ACUCCCUGGCAAUGGGCAAAGAGACAUGUUGGUAGUGUUGUUUUCAUAUCAGUCAGGGGCAGAGCAGAUGGCAGUCCUUUGUUCAUCCUAGCUUGAUGUCUGGCUUGGUGGCCAAAGCUGCUUUAUGCCUAGGACAAAUAA